UNUGACUUGAGUGCAGAAGGGGAGAGUGGAAUUCCAUGUGUAGCGGUGAAAUGCGUAGAUAUAUGGAGGAACACCAGUGGCGAAAGCGGCUCUCUGGUCUGUCACUGACGCUGAGGCUCGAAAGCGUGGGUAGCGAACAGGAUUAGAUACCCUGGUAGUNCACGCCGUAAACGAUGAGUGCUAGGUGUUAGGCCCUUUCCGGGGCUUAGUGCCGGAGCUAACGCAAUAAGCACUCCGCCUGGGGAGUACGACCGCAAGGUUGAAACUCAAAGGAAUUGACGGGGGCCCGCACAAGCGGUGGAGCAUGUGGUUUAAUUCGAAGCAACGCGAAGAACCUUACCAGGUCUUGACAUCCCGAUGCUAUUCUUAGAGAUAGGAAGUUACUUCGGUACAUCGGAGACAGGUGGUGCAUGGUUGUCGUCAGCUCGUGUCGUGAGAUGUUGGGUUAAGUCCCGCAACGAGCGCAACCCUUAUUGUUAGUUGCCAUCAUUAAGUUGGGCACUCUAGCGAGACUGCCGGUAAUAAACCGGAGGAAGGUGGGGAUGACGUCAAAUCAUCAUGCCCCUUAUGACCUGGGCUACACACGUGCUACAAUGGUCGGUACAACGAGUUGCGAGCCGGUGACGGCAAGCUAAUCUCUGAAAGCCGAUCUCAGUUCGGAUUGGAGGCUGCAACUCGCCUCCAUGAAGUCGGAAUCGCUAGUAAUCGCGGAUCAGCACGCCGCGGUGAAUACGUUCCCGGGCCUUGUACACACCGCCCGUCACACCACGAGAGUUUGUAACACCCGAAGUCGGUGAGGUANCCUUUUAGGG
rnacentral:rRNA from 1 species